CAGCCGCCGCGGUAAUACGGAGGGUGCAAGCGUUAAUCGGAAUUACUGGGCGUAAAGCGCACGCAGGCGGUUUGUUAAGUCAGAUGUGAAAUCCCCGAGCUUAACUUGGGAACCGCAUUGGAAACUGGCAAGCUAGAGUCUUGUAGAGGGGGGUAGAAUUCCAGGUGUAGCGGUGAAAUGCGUAGAGAUCUGGAGGAAUACCGGUGGCGAAGGCGGCCCCCUGGACAAAGACUGACGCUCAGGUGCGAAAGCGUGGGGAGCAAACAGGAUUAGAGACCCCGGUAGUCCCUGUCUCUUAUAA
rnacentral:rRNA from 1 species